GGCAGUGGAGAGAUGAGGGCUCACUGCAGUCCCCACUUUCCCACGCCAAGCCAUCCUCCCAGCUUAGCCUCCUUAGCUCCUGGGACUACAGUCUCGCACCACUUCUUUGUAGAGGCAGGGUCUCACUAUGUUGCCCAAGCUGGUCUCAAACUCCUGGGCUCAAGUGAUCCUCCCUCCUCGGCCUCCCAAAGUGCUGGGAUUACAGGUGUGAGCCACCGCACCUAGCCUCUAAAAGACCAUUUGGCUCAUUUUAGACAUGAGGAAAAUGAGCUACGAGGAGGUAUGGCCUGCUCCAGGGCCACUCCACUUUUCAAAUGCCAGUUCUCCUAAUCCUUCAUCCUAGUUCUUCUUGAAGGCUUCUCCAGCUCUGAGUGCAUAACGUUUAAGCCUUGGCCCACACUGUGACAUAUCCAAAGUUUCUCCAAGAGGUGUCCUCACCUGUCACCUGCACAUCACCCUCUUCCACCCCUAACCUUCACCACUCUCCUUAAACUCCUACUUCCUCCCUGACAAGAGACACUUCCUCCUAUACCUCUGAGCUCCCAGCCAGGCUCCCAAGCCAGCCCAUCCCUUCCAUCAACACCCAACCUUGUUGCAUCAGUCUCAGAGCUGCUCCCUCAGAGCCCACAAGGGACCCAAGUGACAUGGCAA
rnacentral:lncRNA from 1 species